rnacentral:rRNA from 1 species
GAUGAACGCUGGCGGCGUGCCUAAUACAUGCAAGUCGAGCGAACAGACCAGGAGCUUGCUCCUCUGACGUUAGCGGCGGACGGGUGAGUAACACGUGGAUAACCUACCUAUAAGACUGGGAUAACUUCGGGAAACCGGAGCUAAUACCGGAUAAUAUAUUGAACCGCAUGGUUCAUUGGUGAAAGACGGUGUUGCUGUCACUUAUAGAUGGAUCCGCGCCGGAUUAGCUAGUUGGUAAGGUAACGGCUUACCAAGGCGACGAUGCGUAGCCGACCUGAGAGGGUGAUCGGCCACACUGGAACUGAGACACGGUCCAGACUCCUACGGGAGGCAGCAGUAGGGAAUCUUCCGCAAUGGGCGAAAGCCUGACGGAGCAACGCCGCGUGAGUGAUGAAGGUCUUCGGAUCGUAAAACUCUGUUAUUAGGGAAGAACAAAUGUGUAAGUAACUAUGCAUGUCUUGACGGUACCUAAUCAGAAAACCACGGCUAACUACGU